rnacentral:tRNA from 13 species
UGGCACCGGCGAGAUCUGAACUCGCGAUCUCCUGUUUAGUAGACAGGCGCUUUAACCAACUAAGCCACGGCGCC